GUGGGGAAUAUUGGACAAUGGGGGGAACCCUGAUCCAGCCAUGCCGCGUGUGUGAAGAAGGCCUUUUGGUUGUAAAGCACUUUAAGCGAGGAGGAGGCUACCGAGAUUAAUACUCUUGGAUAGUGGACGUUACUCGCAGAAUAAGCACCGGCUAACUCUGUGCCAGCAGCCGCGGUAAUACAGAGGGUGCAAGCGUUAAUCGGAUUUACUGGGCGUAAAGCGCGCGUAGGUGGCCAAUUAAGUCAAAUGUGAAAUCCCCGAGCUUAACUUGGGAAUUGCAUUCGAUACUGGUUGGCUAGAGUAUGGGAGAGGAUGGUAGAAUUCCAGGUGUAGCGGUGAAAUGCGUAGAGAUCUGGAGGAAUACCGAUGGCGAUGGCAGCCAUCUGGCCUAAUACUGACACUGAGGUGCGAAAGCAUGGGGAGCAAACAGGAUUAGAAACCCCUGUAGUCC
rnacentral:rRNA from 1 species